AACACCGUUCCCGUUGGAUCACUGAAGUUAAACAACGCUAAGCCUAUUCAGUAAUAAGAUGGUUGACUGCAUGGGAAUACAAAGUGCUGCAA